rnacentral:rRNA from 1 species
GCUACCCCAGGUCAGGCGGGACCACCCGCUGAGUUUAA